AAAAAACAGACAGCAAAGUUUAUUCCAGAAAUUAAUGAAUCAAUGAGAUGUGCAUAUGUGUGUGUGUGUGUGUGAACAUAGCUUUCUAGUAAAAUAAUACCAAAUUGAAUAAGGACAAGCCAAAGGACACAUUUUAUUUUUAUGAGAAGAACACAGGAACAUUAAUUGAUUUUAAGGAAGGAGCAGAGACUCAACUUUAAAAGCUCAGGAAAAUAUUAAGGCUUAUAUAUCCUGGCACCAAAACUUACCACUGACUAGGCAGUUUUAAGCAGUACAAAUUUGUUAUCUCACAGUAUUUGGGAUUUAAAGUUUGAAAUGGAUCUCAGUAAGAUAAAAAUCAAGAUUCGGACAAGGUUACAUCCAUUCUGAAAGAUCUGAAAAAUGUAUUUGGCAGCCACAAUUUUUUUGAUUGGUAGGCAUUCCUGGAUGUGUGUCUCCAUCUUCAAAACUAGCAAUGACUGGCCUAGUCUUUCCCAAGAUGCAUCAGUCUGACCUUGGCUUUCUAUCUACCAGUCUACAUUUAAAAGACCCUUGUGAUUAUAUGGAGCUCCCUGGGAUGGUACAGGUUAAUAUCUUUAUAUUAAAUCUUCCUUUUUGCAACUCUCAUUCUAAUGUAUUCUUAAUUCUUUUUGGUCGUGUAAAAUAACAUAAUACUUUGUGGGGAUUCAGAUACUGACAUUGUGUAUGGUGCCAUUAUUCUUAUCAAACAUGAAGAAAUCAAGGAAGACAUAAAAACAAAGGAAAAAUAUGAACUUUGUCUCACUGGGUCACAAGAUUGCAUAUUAAUCCUUCUUGCUUUAUCCAUUGAUAUUUUUCAUGCAUUAUAAAUGUAAAAAUCUCAGUUUACUAUUGGGAUUUUCAAGGCAAAUUCCUUGUGGUUCCUGUAAUGCUAUAUUAAUUUGGGACAGGUAUGUUAAACAUAUCAUGUGAUUAUGCAGACUAAUAUAACUUUAUUGUUCUUUCAUCCAUAACAAAAUUCAGCUGGCUAUUUAUAUAUUACUAAAAGAUAACAAAGGAAUGUAUGAGCAAAAAAGGAAACCCAGUAGCUUAUGUGAAAACAAUGCCAAGCAAGCAGGUCUAGCCUGUAGCUCACUAACUGUGUGUUAUAAAUGUAACCCCUACAAGGAGCUGUGAACUCACUUAAAACACCGUUAUAAGUUUUAUGUCUAUUUUUGCGAGUUGAUUAAACAGUUCUCAAGUGUGAACUUUGUCGACAGCAUCACCACAUAAUGUCAAAACUUUAGACAGAUGGGCAAAGUGUGUCUUAGCAUUUCCUGUCAGGUAUUUUAGUCGGGUGAAAAUAUACAGUAAUAUCUUUUGAGGUGAACGGAAUCAUUCUUUGUAAAUGUAGGUGUAUAAAUGGAAUCCUCAGUAAAUAUAAGUCUACUUAUGAUCUUAGUUGCUUGUCAAACCCUCUUGUACAAUGUUUGAUUCCAUAAAUACUUAUGGAUAGACAUUUCUUAUAAUUCUUAUUUUAUUUCUUUUUUAAAAAGACUUGCUAAAAUCAGAACAUUAUUAACACCUUUGUAAAUUCUUAUUUAAUAAAGUUCCUGUCAAUUUCUGAAUGGUAACUUCUACAAAUAGGUUAAAAAGUAAAAGAUAUCCAUUUAUAUUCAUUUUACCCUCAGGGAUAUAAUUCAAUAAAACACCCAAUAAUCCUAGAAAAUUGAAUUUUAUUUUCAAUAAAUCUGGAUAAUUAAAAAAAACUUAUUGUGGAAUAAUGACUUUCAUACAAAAAGUUUAAAUGCUUUUAUUAACAUAUUGUACUUUACUGCAAGUUGAUUUUAUGAACACGUUUUAAUCUCAUUUUUCUUCUCUCUUUGAGGCUAACAGGAAGAGAUCCUGUGUAAGAGAUGAAGAUGUAGGGGUGGGGAGGCCACAGGCAAUUAAAGGCUCUCUGUGUUGGCCGUCACUCAGGAAACCUCUCUGGGCCCUGUGGUCCAUGACUGAUCUCUUCUAGUUUUCACAGCCCUCUGUCCUUACUGCUUAGCACUAAAUAAAAUCAUACUUUGAAGUUGAAAGUGCUGGUUUACAUUAUUUAUUUAUGUCUGCUCUUUACUUCCAAAUGUCCUUUUACAAUGAAAUUUCAUUUUACAAUGAAAACGUGAGCAUUAGAAGGUCAAGAGUAACUCUAUAAUAAAAGUCAAAUUAUUCACUCUCUGUGAAUCUGCUUUAUUGGUCAAAAGGGUGUCUGAGCAAGUUAGUGUAUUACACAGUCAUCAAGCAGAUUGUUAUUAUUAUGGUCUUGGUCCUUAUUUCUGUCUUUCCAGGUAGAAGCUGAAAAGCAGGCGAGCUCUGUAUCAGAACUCUGAGUGGAACUCACUCUGCUCAAAACUGUCCCCUGAGUCCUGGGGUUGGAAGGAAGCAGGAAACGUGGUGGUGGAUGAGACUGAUGUUGGAGGGGGCAGAACUGAAAGAGGCACAGGUGUUUGCGUGAGUGGAUUCCAUCCCAAGGAUUUUUAAAAAGUAUUCUCUCAUUACCUACUGCAAAUUUUUAAUGAUUUUAUAAAUAUUUUGUUCUGGACUGGCAAGAUGGCUCAGCGGUUAAGAGCACCGGCUGCUCUACCUGGGAACUCAGGUUCAAUUCCCAGCAAUCACGACUGUCUGUAACUCCAGAUUCUGGGGAUCUGACACGUCACAUAAAUAACAGACAGAUGUACAUGUAUCACAUGUGUGCCGAAUCCACAGAAGGUAGAAGAGCAUAUCAGAUCUCCUGGAACUGAAGUUCACAACUGGAAAUCACAAUGUGGAUGUUAGGAAUCAAACCCAGUUCCUAUGAAGGAACUGCAAGUGUUCUUAACUAUUAAGACAUCUCUCCAGUCCUGAUCUUCACUUUAACAAGUAGAAAGACAUAGCCUAGUCAAACAAAAGACCAAUAAUGAAUAUUGAGGAAUCAUGGAGCUGGCCUGGCCUGUCUUGAGAGGCAAACACUGCCUCAGACAGCGAAGCGCUGAGACUACUUUGUGUUUCUCCGUAUGUUCCCUUGGAAGUCAAGGAAUCGUGGCAGCUUGGCAGGACGAUUAUCUUAGAUAUUAAUCUUGUGUACCCCAUAAAGCUUGCAAACAUCAUUGUAUCCUGGCAACUACACCUGUAUUGAUCCUGAUGAUUGCCACUAUAUUCUAUUUCUUGAUAAAGGUAUAAAAAGUCUGAU